UGACCAAGUUCUUGUGCUGAAGUUUUAACAACAGUUUCACCUCAUUAGUGAAUUCUCUCAGUCCUUGUCUUGAAUUUAAUGAAAGCUUCUUCACAGCAACUUCUUGACCAUUUGGUAUCAACCCCCUGUACACGGGACCGAAUCCACCAUGACCAAGCUGAUUCAAGUCGGAGAAAAAAUUGGUAGCUAUUUGAAGCGUACGGAGGUCGAAGAAGAGGUCAUGAGUUUCA
rnacentral:misc_RNA from 1 species